rnacentral:rRNA from 1 species
GAUGAACGCUGGCGGCGUGCCUAAUACAUGCAAGUCGAGCGAACAGACGAGGAGCUUGCUCCUCUGACGUUAGCGGCGGACGGGUGAGUAACACGUGGAUAACCUACCUAUAAGACUGGGAUAACUUCGGGAAACCGGAGCUAAUACCGGAUAACAUGUUGAACCGCAUGGUUUAACAGUGAAAGACGGUCUUGCUGUCACUUAUAGAUGGAUCCGCGCCGCAUUAGCUAGUUGGUAAGGUAACGGCUUACCAAGGCAACGAUGCGUAGCCGACCUGAGAGGGUGAUCGGCCACACUGGAACUGAGACACGGUCCAGACUCCUACGGGAGGCAGCAGUAGGGAAUCUUUCGCAAUGGGCGAAAGCCUGACGGAGCAACGCCGCGUGAGUGAAGAAGGUCUUCGGAUCGUAAAACUCUGUUAUUAGGGAAGAUCAAAUGUGUAAGUAACUAUGCACGUCUUGACGGUACCUAAUCAGAAAGCCACGGCUAACUACGUG